UACAUGCCAGGGCGGACCAUCUACAACAUGUAUUUAUGAUUAUCUAACGCUUCAGGGAGUAAGUUAUUGUGGUGGGGCACCGCCAGACCCUAUCAUAGUACCAACUGGUGAAAACACCACCGUGAGAUUCGAAACAGAUUCCUUCUUUACAUGCCUUGGUUUUAACCUGAGCAUUACCUACACAGAUGUAUAAAGCCAAGACAUCAAGAGAUGUAUACAUUUUGAGACAUCAAGAAUAAGUCGUGUUAUAGCCAUCAAUGUAAUAACUAUAUCCAAAUUAAUCUAAAUUCAUUUAAAUAACAAAACUAAAUCCAUUCUAGAAACUGACCAAUAACCUAAAUAAACAAUUCUUACUGUAA